rnacentral:sRNA from 1 species
UAGAAAAUUAAAUUCUCUACAUUUUUGCAAUUAAAAAUUUUCUCAUAGCU